GGGUUGUGAGGUUAAGCGACUAAGCGUACACGGUGGAUGCCCUGGCAGUCAGAGGCGAUGAAGGGCGUGCUAAUCUGCGAUAAGCGCCGGUAAGGUGAUAUGAACCGUUAUAACCGGCGAUACCCGAAUGGGGAAACCCAGUGUGAUUCGUCACACUAUCAUUAACUGAAUCCAUAGGUUAAUGAGGCGAACCGGGGGAACUGAAACAUCUAAGUACCCCGAGGAAAAGAAAUCAACCGAGAUUCCCCCAGUAGCGGCGAGCGAACGGGGAGGAGCCCAGAGCCUGAAUCAGCAUGUGUGUUAGUGGAAGCGUCUGGAAAGGUGCGCGAUACAGGGUGACAGCCCCGUACACAAAAGCGCAUGUGCUGUGAGCUCGAUGAGUAGGGCGGGACACGUGGUAUCCUGUCUGAAUAUGGGGGGACCAUCCUCCAAGGCUAAAUACUCCUGACUGACCGAUAGUGAACCAGUACCGUGAGGGAAAGGCGAAAAGAACCCCGGCGAGGGGAGUGAAAAAGAACCUGAAACCGUGUACGUACAAGCAGUGGGAGCACAGGUUUACCUGUGUGACUGCGUACCUUUUGUAUAAUGGGUCAGCGACUUAUAUUCUGUAGCAAGGUUAACCGUAUAGGGGAGCCG
rnacentral:rRNA from 4 species